rnacentral:rRNA from 1 species
AUUGAACGCUGGCGGCGUGCCUAACACAUGCAAGUCGAGCGGUAACAGGUGUAGCAAUACAUGCUGACGAGCGGCGAACGGGUGAGUAAUGCUUUGGAAUCUUCCCAGUAGUGGGGAAUAACCAGUCGAAAGAUUGGCUAAUACCGCAUACGUCUGUAAAGGGAAAGCGGGGGCUCGUAAGACCUCGCGCUAUUGGAUGAGCCAAAGUCGGAUUAGCUAGUUGGUGGGGUAAUGGCCUACCAAGGCGACAAUCCGUAGCUGGUCUGAGAGGACGACCAGCCACACCGGAACUGAGACACGGUCCGGACUCCUACGGGAGGCAGCAGUGGGGAAUAUUGGACAAUGGGGGAAACCCUGAUCCAGCGACGCCGCGUGUGUGAAGAAGGCCUGCGGGUUGUAAAGCACUUUUAGUGGGGACAAAAAGCUACGGAUUAAUACUCUGUGGUCUUGAUUUAACCCAAAGAAAAAGCACCGGCUAACUCUGUGCCAGCAGCCGCGGUAAUACAGAGGGUGCGAGCGUUAAUCGGAAUUACUGGGCGUAAAGCGCGCGUAGACGGUUUUGUAAGUCAGAUGUGAAAUCCCUGGGCUCAACCUGGGAACUGCAUUUGAGACUGCAUGGCUAGAGUAUCGAAGAGGGAAGUGGAAUUUCCGGUGUAGCGGUGAAAUGCGUAGAUAUCGGAAGGAACACCAGUGGCGAAAGCGACUUCCUGGUCGAAUACUGACGUUCAUGUGCGAAAGCGUGGGGAGCAAACAGGAUUAGAUACCCUGGUAGUCCACGCCAUAAACGAUGAGAACUAGACGUUGAGAGGGUAAGCCUCCCAGUGUCGCAGCUAACGCGCUAAGUUCUCCGCCUGGGGAGUACGGCCGCAGGUUG